ACAAGGUUUCCGUAGGUGAACCUGCGGAAGGAUCAUUGUCGAAACCUGCCUAGCAGAACGACCCGCGAACUCGUUUCAUACUACGGGGAUCCGCGUCGGCUCUGGCCUCGUGGAUCCCCACACGGCCGUUCGGGAGGGGGCAUGCGCUCUCUCGUGGACGGUCUAACAACGAAAAUCCGGCGCGGACUGCGCCAAGGAAAUUCAAACGGAAGAGCACGCUUUCGUCGUCCCGGGAACGGUGCGCGUUUCGAAAGUGGUGCCUUCUUCAAUUAUCCAUAACGACUCUCGGCAACGGAUAUCUCGGCUCUCGCAUCGAUGAAGAACGUAGCGAAAUGCGAUACUUGGUGUGAAUUGCAGAAUCCCGUGAACCAUCGAGUCUUUGAACGCAAGUUGCGCCCCAAGCCUUUAGGCCGAGGGCACGUCUGCCUGGGUGUCACGCAUCGUUGCCCCCAAAACCCGAUUUUCGAAAUGGGCGCGGGGCGGAAAUUGGCCUCCCGUGAGAACCAUCUCGCGGUUGGUCUAAAUAAAACUAUAUCGGUUGUGGAUGACGCAACGUUCGGUGGGAAACUCUCGAGCUCGUGUUGCUGCAUCGCGCAUCCCGUGCGUACCUAUCGUCGCGACCCCAGGUCAGGCGGGAUUACCCGCUGAGUUUAAGA
rnacentral:rRNA from 1 species